UACGUAGGGGGCAAGCGUUGUCCGGAAUUAUUGGGCGUAAAGAGCGUGUAGGCGGCCAGAUAAGUCCGCUGUGAAAUCUCGAGGCUCAACUUCGAGCUGUCGGUGGAAACUAUCUGGCUAGAGUCCGGAAGAGGAGAAUGGAAUUCCUGGUGUAGCGGUGAAAUGCGCAGAUAUCAGGAGGAACACCGAUGGCGAAGGCAGGUCACUGGGCCGCAACUGACGCUGAGGAGCGAAAGCAUGGGGAGCGAACAGG
rnacentral:rRNA from 1 species